UACGUAGGGUGCAGGCGUUAAUCGGAAUUACUGGGCGUAAAGGGCGCGUAGGCGGCAAUUCAAGUCAGCUGUGAAAUCUCUGGGCUUAACCCAGAACGGCCAGCUGAUACUGCUUUGCUAGAGUGCAGAAGGGGCAAUCGGAAUUCUUGGUGUAGCGGUGAAAUGCGUAGAUAUCAAGAGGAACACCUGAGGUGAAGACGGGUUGCUGGGCUGACACUGACGCUGAGGCGCGAAAGCCAGGGGAGCAAACGGG
rnacentral:rRNA from 1 species